CCUAGAGUUGUAGGCUUUGCCUGCUAUCUCUUACCCAUGUCUUUGAAUACCUUCGUUUCCUCGGCGGGUCCGCCGCCGCCGAUUGGACAAUUUAAACCAUUUGCAGUUGCAAUCAGCGUCUGAAAAAACUUAAUAGUUAC
rnacentral:misc_RNA from 1 species